GACGAACGCUGGCGGCGUGCCUAACACAUGCAAGUCGAGCGAGGAACUUCGGUUCCUAGCGGCGGACGGGUGAGUAACACGUGGGUAACCUGCCUCAUAGAGGGGGAUAGCCUCCCGAAAGGGAGAUUAAUACCGCAUAAGAAGUAAUUGUCGCAUGACAGUAGCUUUAAAGGAGCAAUCCGCUAUGAGAUGGACCCGCGGCGCAUUAGCUAGUUGGUGAGGUAAAGGCUCACCAAGGCCACGAUGCGUAGCCGACCUGAGAGGGUGAUCGGCCACAUUGGAACUGAGACACGGUCCAGACUCCUACGGGAGGCAGCAGUGGGGAAUAUUGCACAAUGGGGGAAACCCUGAUGCAGCAACGCCGCGUGAGUGAUGAAGGCCUUCGGGUUGUAAAGCUCUGUCUUUUGGGACGAUAAUGACGGUACCAAAGGAGGAAGCCACGGCUAACUACGUGCCAGCCGCCGCGGUAAUAC
rnacentral:rRNA from 1 species